AACGAACGCUGGCGGCAUGCCUAACACAUGCAAGUCGAACGAGACCUUCGGGUCUAGUGGCGCACGGGUGCGUAACACGUGGGAAUUUGCCUCGGGGUAUGGAAUAACUCAGGGAAACCUGAGCUAAUACCAUAUAAUGUCUUCGGACCAAAGAUUUAUCGCCCUGAGAUAAGCCCGCGUAGGAUUAGCUAGUUGGUGGGUAAAGGCUCACCAAGGCGACGAUCCUUAGCUGGUCUGAGAGGAUGAUCAGCCACACUGGGACUGAGACACGGCCCAGACUCCUACGGAGGCAGCAGUGGGGAAUAUUGGACAAUGGGCGAAAGCCUGAUCCAGCAAUGCCGCGUGAGUGAUGAAGG
rnacentral:rRNA from 1 species